rnacentral:rRNA from 1 species
AUUGAACGCUGGCGGCAGGCCUAACACAUGCAAGUCGAGCGAGCGGCGGACGGGUGAGUAAUGUAUGGGGACUGCCCGAUAGAUGGGGAUAACUAAUGGAAACUGUGGCUAAUACCGCAUACUAUCGGAUAACCCAAAUGGGAUUAGCUAGUAGGUGGGGUAAAGGCUCACCGAGGCGAGGAUCCAUAGCUGGUCUGAGAGGAUGAUCGGUCACACUGGGAGUGAGACACGGCCCAGACUCCUACGGAGGAAGCAGUGGGGAAUAUUGGAGAAUGGGCGCAAGCCUGAGGCAGCCAUGCCGCGUGUAUGAAGAAGGUCUUCGGGUGGUAAAGUACUUUUAGCGGGGAGGCGUGACCUGCAGAAGAAGCACCGGCGAACUCCGUUCCAGCAGCCGCGGUAAUAC